rnacentral:sRNA from 1 species
UUGGUCUAGUGCUCCCCUGAUGAUGUC